GGGCCCGCACAAGCGGUGGAGUAUGUGGUUUAAUUCGAUGCAACGCGAAGAACCUUACCAGGGUUUGACAUCCUGCGAAUCUCUUGGAAACAGGAGAGUGCCUUCGGGAACGCAGUGACAGGUGGUGCAUGGCUGUCGUCAGCUCGUGUCGUGAGAUGUUGGGUUAAGUCCCGCAACGAGCGCAACCCACGUCUUUAGUUGCCAGCAUUUAGUUGGGUACUCUAGCGAGACUGCCGGUGCAAACCGUGAGGAAGGUGGGGAUGACGUCAAGUCAUCAUGCCCCUUACAUCCUGGGCUACACACGUACUACAAUGCUACGGACAAAGGGCAGCAAACUCGCGAGAGCUAGCAAAUCCCAUAAACCGUGGCUCAGUUCAGAUCGUAGGCUGCAACUCGCCUACGUGAAGGAGGAAUCGCUAGUAAUCGCAGGU
rnacentral:rRNA from 1 species